rnacentral:rRNA from 1 species
GUGAGUCAUCGAAUCUUUGAACGCAUCUUGCGCUCCUUGGUAUUCCGAGGAGCAUGCCUGUUUGAGUGUCAUCAAAAGUUCUCAACCACACCGGUUUCUCUGGUGUGGCUUGGAUUUGGGGGGUUUGCAGGCUUUCAAGUCGGCUCUCCUGAAAAAGAUUAGCGGUAUCUGAGCAGAAACCAAGCCUCGGGCGUGAUAAUUAUCUAUGCUUGGUGUAUAAUCUGUGUGGGCUGCUUAUAACCGGAGAGUGUUGACAGAUUUGACCUCAAAUCAGGUAGGACUACCCGCUGAACUUAAGCAUAUCAAUAAGCGGAGG